GGGGAAUAUUGCGCAAUGGGGGAAACCCUGACGCAGCAAUACCGCGUGAGUGAAGAAGGUUUUCGGAUCGUAAAGCUCUGUUAUUGGGGAAGAAAAAAAGACGGUACCCAAGAAGAAAGUCCCGGCUAACUACGUGCCAGCAGCCGCGGUAAUACGUAGGGGACAAGCGUUGUCCGGAUUUACUGGGCGUAAAGGGCACGCAGGCGGUUUUUUAAGUCAGAUGUGAAAGGUACCGGCUCAACCGGUGACAUGCAUUUGAAACUGGUGAACUUGAGUGUAGGAGAGGAAAGUGGAAUUCCCAGUGUAGCGGUGAAAUGCGUAGAUAUUGGGAGGAACACCAGUGGCGAAGGCGACUUUCUGGACUACAACUGACGCUGAGGCACGAAAGCGUGGGGAGCAAACA
rnacentral:rRNA from 1 species